rnacentral:sRNA from 1 species
AUCUCGAUCUCGCUGAGGAAGUGCACGUGGGUGUCGACCGCGCCCGCCGUGAGGAUCUUGCCCUCACCGGCGAUCACGUCGGUGCCCGGACCGAUCAGCAGAUCCGGGUGCACACCGUCCAUGACGUCCGGGUUACCGGCCUUGCCGAUCGCCACGAUACGACCGUCGCGGAUACCCACGUCACCUCGGACGAUCCCCCAGUGGUCCAGGACCACCACGUUGGUGAUCACCAGGUCCAGGGCGCCCUCGGAACGCAGGGUCAUGCCCUGCCCCAUCGACUCACGGAU